rnacentral:tRNA from 1 species
CUCGGUUAUUGAUUUUUUUAGCUGCGUCUUCCUUCUUCUGUUCUUGCCGACUACUGUCUUCUCUAUAUGAACCGUAUCCUACACGCUAAAGAAGAGUCUAGUAACUAAAUUAAAUAUAAUUAGAAGCCGGGCCCGAGACUGGUUCGUCUUCUCGACUCGACUAGGCUUAUCACUUAGCACUUAAAUGUGUGAGGAUGAAGAUCGUCGCGACUGACAGCAGAUGACAGAGAACCAGCAGCAGAUCGGCAGAAAAUCUACAAAGUGUCGAUCGAGGUGAUGAUCUCCGUGCCUAAUGCUCAGCAGGGCACAACGUCAUCAUCACAACCACCAUCCACAAGGUCUUAAAUUACUUUUGAAUUUGCAAAGAACAUUCCCGUUAUGAAGUAAAAAGGUAGCUAAACAGUGCCUUUAGGAUCCUAGAUGCCCGGAGAUCAUCGAACUCCGUUGUAUGGUUCUUCUAUUCUCUUAUUAUCAGGAGUGGGAAAAAAGUAGAGAGAAAUGAUCAGCAGGAAUCCACGAAAAAGGUACAAUCCAUCGAUAUUUCCUACUAGAGAUAGUGAUGAGACUUUUUCUCGAGGUAUCUUACGAUCUGUUCACAUCAAAUCUUUCUACAGCAAAUCGACAAAAAACUAACGCCUGCGGCUAUAAAAAGCAUCAAGUGCACGCAAGAAGUAAGCUUUCAUUCGAACUCUCCGUAGUUUAGUGUGGUUUAGAGCGUCAGACUGUAAUUGGUUUCCAAAAUCACAUCUGAAAGUCGUGCGUUCGACUCGCACCGGGGAGAUUCAAAUUUGCCCCCGUGGCGCAAUCGGUAGCGCGCACGACUCUUAACGAGUCUGCUUGAGCCGGUUAUGGGCCAUCAAUCAUUCCUUCGUCAUCGUGCGGUUGCGGGUUCGAGCCCCGCCGGAGGCUUUUUAUAUAUAUCUUUUCUAUCUUCUUACUGCGUUAUUUUGCUAUCUCUUAUAUAUCGGUCUCACCGCCCCACAAUGACAAGAAAUAUGGCUUGAAAGUUUUGCCACACCUUCUCAAGUUCUUGAUUUCAUGUAUAUCAAGGUAGCAUAUUCAUAUUCGGCGAAUAAUCCUUUCACCCUUGACGUGGAUGGGAGAAUUGGAGAAAGAAGAUGGGCGAAGAUAAAAUUAGUUAGCACUAGAUUCGGAUUGAGUCGACAACCUCACGACACAAUCAUAAAUCAUUCUACCCCGCCCAAUCAAACAUCUGCCAAUACCGUCAGAAUAUAGGGAAUUAGCCUUCUGCUCAAUUGAACAACUAACAUAGAGUGUAAUAUAUCACUCAUGCCUUUCGUAGCUUACCAAACUUCAAGUAGCUGCCCUCAGUCUAUCGAAGGCACAGUACUUCGCUCCUUCCAAAAACAUGCAAGGAAUAUCCUUCAGGAGGUUGAAUGAUUGACUUACAUCGACAGAAACCUGCAUUAGAAACGGAGUAUGGUAAUUUAAAAGAUAAUUAUUGGCAACUUGAUACGGUGUCGAAGGAUGCGUAGAAUAAUGAAGCCCAGAGGUUAGGUUAAAGUCCGAAGGAAGAAAGAUUGGUUGAUUGAAGAGCGAAUGCAGCCAUACAGAUGUUAUAUAGGAACAUCGCGAAUCGUCCCA